AAGGGAACUGAUAUUCCAUGGCGAAGAUAGACAACUUUCAAGGAACGAGACUUACGGGCAGAGUAGCAGUUCAUCCAUAUUUAUGGAGGUACACUUAAAAUUGGUACACAAGUACAGAUUUUCUUUCUUUCUUUCUUCUUUCUUUUUUUUUUUUUCUUUUUUUGUUUUUUCUUAUCGAUUACCUCAGGACAAGCACUUUUCCAAGAAGAAGCUAAAAAUGAUACUGUUCCUA